UCAGCGGCAGCAGAGUGGGUGAGAGUCCAACCUGGGCCUGGGCGCCGGGCUUAAGCCGGCAGCGCCAGGCGGGGAUUUCAGAAGACUGUCUGCGCCGCAAGGGCACUGCAUGCCCGGAAGCUGCGGCACUUCCCGAUUUUCCGCGGCUCUAUAAGGAGUAGCGCUUCGGUAGCCGGGGAGCUGGAGGGGAACCUGAUUUGAGAUCAAUUCUUGGAGAACACAAAGAAGUGUGGUGGUAUGUUCCAGGGUUGAACCAGCUGCCCUUUGACCCUGCCAACAACAACGAGCCCCUGCAGUUUGGUAGUGCCAGUGGCCCUCUGGUCACAGAAGGCCUCAUUGAGAAUGGAGGGGAGUCAAGCAAGAAAAGAAAGAGAACAAAUGCUCCUUCAGGUAAGCUAGGCAAUAAUCCAUGCUCUUAGGCCAGUGCCACUGAGUCAACACUCUCCCAGAGCCUUGUAUGUGGUGGGCACUG
rnacentral:lncRNA from 1 species